GGAGUUUGGACCGUGUCUCAGUUCCAAUGUGGGGGACCUUCCUCUCAGAACCCCUACUGAUCGUCGCCUUGGUGGUCCAUUACACCGCCAACUAGCUAAUCAGAUGCAGACUCAUCCCAGAGCACCGGAGUUUUCAAGAAUAGCAUCUCAGCUACGCUCAUAUGGGGUAUUAGCUGUCGUUUCCAACGGUUGUCCCCCACUCUAGGGCAGAUUCUCUACAUAUUACUCACCCGUCCGCCACUUUCCACUGACCGAAGUCAGCUUCUCGUUCGACUUGCAUGUAUGAAGCACGCCGCCAGCGUUCGUCCUCGAGCCACGGAGUCAAACUACU
rnacentral:rRNA from 1 species